UUGUUUUAGCACAUAUGUGUAUAUAUACAUACAUAUAUGUGUAUGUAUGUAUGUACGUACGUUUAUCUAUUUUUUUUUUUUUUUCUUUAUUUUUUUUUUUUUUUCAAAAACAAAGCGAGGCACCAGAUAACUUCCUCGAUUUGUAUUCGUCGCAACAUAAUUUAUCUGAAUCCACAAGUGUUGAUUUUAUAAAUUUGGAAAACAACAUCAAACUAGAAACUGAACUUAAUUCUAUGAAUUUAAAUAUUUUUAACACUCUCGAAUAUAAUGAUAUGAAUGGCAAUACGUUGAACGAACUGGAAAGGAUAGAUUAUGAUAACUCAUGCUCUUUAAAAGACCAUAUAUCAAACGACCCGUAUAGUAAUAUAAGUCUGUUUGGGAAUUUUAGUAGUGGAAAUAAAGUUGCAUCAUUAAAUAAAAUAAACAAAUUUGAUUUUAAAGAAAACGAUAGCAUACAACAUGAUGUAGAGCACUAUAAAGCAAAAGAAAUAACUCUUUUAAAAAUGAAUGAAAUUAACCCUAUAUAUAGCACAAAGGAUGAAAUGGUGGUAGACGUCGUGGUUGUAUCAGGCUGUAGCAGUGAAGGGAAGGAAAUACCGUUAUCUUUGUGCAACGACAGCUGCUCUAAUGAAAAUGAAAAUAAGAAGGCUACUGCUGAAUUAAGCGGAUCUUGUAGUGUACCUUUAAGUGGGAAAAAAGAUAUAACAUAUAGCGAGUGCCCAUUGACGAGUGAUUUUUUUGAUACGAUUGAAAAUUUAAAUACAAAGGUUUUUGAAAAGUAUAAUAACUUAAAGGGGUGUUCAGAAAAUUUAAUAGAAAAUGUAAAUAAAUUCGAUUUUGAUAAAAGAAUAAACGAUUUGUUACAAAUACAUGAUGACAAUUUAGAUUUUAUUAACCAGUUUAAAAAAAAAAGUGAAGAAUGCAUAAGAAAAUGUCAGAAGUUUGAAACGACUUCAGAAAAUCUAAUAAGUGAGUGUAUCAAUACCCUGGCGGAUAGCAGUAUCUGUUAUGCAAAAUGGGUAGGUCUGCAUUCAUACCAAAUCGACCCAAUUUACAAACAGUUGGAUGACAUAAAGCUUUUUAUCGAAGCGAACGAAUAAAGAGACUGAGGAUAUUCAUUUUGUUUAUGUUUAUGUUUAUGUUUAUGUUUAUGUUUAUGUUUAUGUUUAUGUUUAUGUUUAUGUUUAUGUUUCUGUUUCUGUUUCUGUUUCUGUUUCUGUUUAUGUUUCUGUUUCUAUUUAUGUUUCUGUUUCUGUUUCUGUUUCUAUUUAUGUUUCUGUUUCUGUUUCUGUUUCUAUUUCUGUUUCUGUUUCUGUUUCUGUUUCUGUUUCUAUUUCUGUUUCUGUUUCUAUUUCUGUUUCUGUUUCUAUUUCUGUUUCUAUUUAUGUUUCUGUUUCUAUUUCUGUUUCUAUUUAUGUUUCUGUUUCUGUUUCUAUUUCUGUUUCUGUUUCUAUUUAUGUUUUUGCUUUUUUAUACGCAUGGAGUGCGCGCAUGUAUAUAAAAAAAAAAAAUGUUAAUAGUUUUAAGCAGUACGUGUUGUGUUCGAAGAACUGAUAAGAGUAUACAUCGCGUACAUAUAAAUGUACACCAUGCAGUGUAUUUUUUUUUUUUUUUUUUUUUUUCCAAUUUUUGGUUCUUUUUUAAUUUUUUAAAAAAAAUAAAAAACGUAAAAAAAAAAAAAAAAAACA
rnacentral:lncRNA from 1 species